GCCGGAUUAGCUCAGUCGGUAGAGCAGCGGUUUUGUAAACCGAAGGUCGCGGGUUCGACCCCUGCAUCCGGCACCA
rnacentral:tRNA from 3 species